AGUGAACGCUGGCGGUAGGCCUAACACAUGCAAGUCGAACGGCAGCACAGUAAGAGCUUGCUCUUGCGGGUGGCGAGUGGCGGACGGGUGAGGAAUACAUCGGAAUCUACUUUUUCGUGGGGGAUAACGUAGGGAAACUUACGCUAAUACCGCAUACGACCUACGGGUGAAAGCAGGGGAUCUUCGGACCUUGCGCGUUUGAAUGAGCCGAUGUCGGAUUAGCUAGUUGGCGGGGUAAAGGCCCACCAAGGCGACGAUCCGUAGCUGGUCUGAGAGGAUGAUCAGCCACACUGGAACUGAGACACGGUCCAGACUCCUACGGGAGGCAGCAGUGGGGAAUAUUGGACAAAGGGCGCAAGCCUGAUCCAGCCAUACCGCGUGGGUGAAGAAGGCCUUCGGGUUGUAAAGCCCUUUUGUUGGGAAAGAAAAGCAGCAGGUUAAUACCCCGCUGUUCUGACGGUACCCAAAGAAUAAGCACCGGCUAACUUCGUG
rnacentral:rRNA from 1 species